rnacentral:rRNA from 1 species
GAUGAACGCUGGCGGCGUGCUUAAUACAUGCAAGUCGAACGGACAGACCAUGCUCUUGUUGGGUGCACGAGUGGCGAACGGGUGAGUGAAACGUGAGUAACCUGCCCUUGACAUUGGGAUAAAUUCACGAAAAAGGGGCUCAUAUCGGGUAGGAUCUCCUGAUGCAUGGUGGGGGAUGGAAAGAUUCGGCGGUUCGGGCUGGACUCGAGGCUUAUCCGCUUCUUUGUGGGGUAGUGGCUUACAAAGGCUUUGAAGGGUAGCCGGCCUUGGAGGGUGACCGGCCACCUUGGGACUGCGAGAGGGCCCAGACUCCUACGUGCGGCAGCAGGGGAGAAUAUUGCACAGUGGGCGGAAGCCUGAGGCAGCAACGCCGCGUGCGGGAUGAUGGCCUUCGGGUUGUAAACCGCUGUCGCCUGUGACGAAGAGUGAGUGACGGUAACGGGUAAAGAAGCACCGGCUAACUACGUG